rnacentral:misc_RNA from 1 species
ACACCUCAACUCUCAUGGUUUGCCAUGAUGAGCUUGGACUUUGGGGGUUUUGCUGGCCUAUGGUUGGCUCCUCUCAAAUGAAUUAGCCUGCCGGUGUUUGGUGGGAUCACAGGUGUGAUAACUAUCUACGCUUGCGAUUGCCCACCAGGUAACCUUCAGCAAUGGAGGUUCGCUGGGGCUCAUAGACGUCUCUCCUCAGCGAGGACAGCUUUUGAAC